rnacentral:rRNA from 1 species
AACGAACGCUGGCGGCAUGCCUAACACAUGCAAGUCGAACGAGACCUUCGGGUCUAGUGGCGCACGGGUGCGUAACGCGUGGGAAUCUGCCCUUGGGUUCGGAAUAACAGUUGGAAACGACUGCUAAUACCGGAUGAUGACGUAAGUCCAAAGAUUUAUCGCCCAAGGAUGAGCCCGCGUAGGAUUAGCUAGUUGGUGAGGUAAAGGCUCACCAAGGCGACGAUCCUUAGCUGGUCUGAGAGGAUGAUCAGCCACACUGGGACUGAGACACGGCCCAGACUCCUACGGGAGGCAGCAGUGGGGAAUAUUGGACAAUGGGCGAAAGCCUGAUCCAGCAAUGCCGCGUGAGUGAUGAAGGCCUUAGGGUUGUAAAGCUCUUUUACCCGAGAUGAUAAUGACAGUAUCGGAGAAUAAGCUACCGGCUAACUCCGUGCCAGCAGCCGCGGUAA